UACGUAGGGGGCAAGCGUUGUCCGGAUUUAUUGGGCGUAAAGAGCGUGUAGGCGGCCAAGACAGGUCAGCUGUGAAAACUCGAGGCUCAACCUCGAGACGUCGGUUGAAACCGUCUGGCUAGAGUCCGGAAGAGGAGUGUGGAAUUCCCGGUGUAGCGGUGAAAUGCGCAGAUAUCGGGAAGAACACCCGUGGCGAAGGCGGCACUCUGGGACGGUACUGACGCCGAGACGCGAAAGCGUGGGGAGCGAACAGG
rnacentral:rRNA from 1 species